CCAACCAGAGGUAGAGCGACGUUUCUCAACGCAUCGAUGCUUACGUUCGUCUUAUUGGUCUCUCCUAACUUUUCGGCUCGCUUCUUCAUAAUCAACUUCUUCUUCCAUUCCGGGAUGUUGGGAUCGUCGAUCGGUUCGCGAUCGACGUUGUUGUUGCUGCUGCUACGUCCCCUAUCACCGGGCAUGGCCGACCAGACGCCUUCACCCCACAACUGCAGAUCGAAAGCACUCCUCCCUCUACGUAACAACGGUAGCCUAAUCGAAAUUCCGUUAACGACUCUGCUUCAUUCUUGCCUCUUC
rnacentral:lncRNA from 1 species